rnacentral:rRNA from 1 species
UACGGAGGGUGCAAGCGUUGUCCGGAAUCACUGGGCGUAAAGGGCGCGUAGGCGGCUCGGUAAGUCGGGGGUGAAAUCCUGCGGCUUAACCGCAGGGCUGCCUUCUAAACUGUCGAGCUUGAGCACGGUAGAGGCAGAUGGAAUUCCCGGUGUAGCGGUGGAAUGCGUAGAGAUCGGGAAGAACAUCAGUGGCGAAGGCGGUCUGCUGGGCCGUUGCUGACGCUGAGGCGCGAAAGCGUGGGGAGCAAACAGG